CGGCGGACGGGUGAGUAACACGUGGGUAACCUACCUAUAAGACUGGGAUAACUUCGGGAAACCGGAGCUAAUACCGGAUAAUAUUUCGAACCGCAUGGUUCGAUAGUGAAAGAUGGCUCUGCUAUCACUUAUAGAUGGACCUGCGCCGUAUUAGCUAGUUGGUAAGGUAACGGCUUACCAAGGCAACGAUACGUAGCCGACCUGAGAGGGUGAUCGGCCACACUGGAACUGAGACACGGUCCAG
rnacentral:rRNA from 1 species